UACGGGGGGGGCGAGCGUUGUUCGGAUUUACUGGGCGUAAAGAGCUCGUAGGCGGUCUGUCGCGUCUGUUGUGAAAACUCGAGGCUCAACCUCGGGCUUGCAGUGGAUACGGGCAGACUAGAGUGCGGUAGGGGAGACUGGAAUUCCUGGUGUAGCGGUGGAAUGCGCAGAUAUCAGGAGGAACACCGAUGGCGAAGGCAGGUCUCUGGGCCGCAACUGACGCUGAGGAGCGAAAGCAUGGGGAGCGAACAGG
rnacentral:rRNA from 1 species